GACGAACGCUGGCGGCGUGCUUAACACAUGCAGGUCGAACGGAAAGGCCCUGCUUUUGUGGGGUGCUCGAGUGGCGAACGGGUGAGUAACACGUGAGUAACCUGCCCUUGACUUUGGGAUAACUUCAGGAAACUGGGGCUAAUACCGGAUAGGAGCUCCUGCUGCAUGGUGGGGGUUGGAAAGUUUCGGCGGUUGGGGAUGGACUCGCGGCUUAUCAGCUUGUUGGUGGGGUAGUGGCUUACCAAGGCUUUGACGGGUAGCCGGCCUGAGAGGGUGACCGGCCACAUUGGGACUGAGAUACGGCCCAGACUCCUACGGGAGGCAGCAGUGGGGAAUAUUGCACAAUGGGCGGAAGCCUGGUGCAGCAACGCCGCGUGCGGGAUGACGGCCUUCGGGUUGUAAACCGCUUUCGCCUGUGACGAAGCGUGAGUGACGGUAAUGGGUAAAGAAGCACCGGCUAACUACGUG
rnacentral:rRNA from 1 species